GGGGAAUAUUGGACAAUGGGCGCAAGCCUGAUCCAGCCAUGCCGCGUGAGUGAUGAAGGCCUUAGGGUUGUAAAGCUCUUUCGCCGGUGAAGAUAAUGACGGUAACCGGAGAAGAAGCCCCGGCUAACUUCGUGCCAGCAGCCGCGGUAAUACGAAGGGGGCUAGCGUUGUUCGGAAUUACUGGGCGUAAAGCGCACGUAGGCGGAUGUUUAAGUCGGGGGUGAAAUCCCAGGGCUCAACCUUGGAACUGCCUUUGAAACUAUCGGUCUGGAGUUCGAGAGAGGUGAGUGGAAUUCCGAGUGUAGAGGUGAAAUUCGUAGAUAUUCGGAGGAACACCAGUGGCGAAGGCGGCUCACUGGCUCGAUACUGACGCUGAGGUGCGAAAGCGUGGGGAGCAAA
rnacentral:rRNA from 1 species